AUGGGGGACUUGUCCACGAUUCAACAGCCACCCGGCACUGUCGCCAAGCAGGGCGACCAAGUUGGAGAGUUGGUGUCGGCUGGAUGGACAAACGACAGCCACAGCAUGUACAUAAGCUCCAUGGAGGCCUCCUUUGUGCGGCAACUCCGUGGCCAACAGUUACAGCACCACCACGCUCACGCUCCUGCUAGGAACAUCACCCAUGUGGCUGGCCAUGGGCUCAAGGCACUCCAUGUCCAAGAUGGAGCUCCCAGUGAGCUCAUGUCCGAGAGGAACGUCCCUCGCUCGCGUCAUGUGGGCGUAAGAGGCCUGCCCGAGGAUCCGUGGGCAAGGCGUUUCAGGCCACCCAGAGAUUAUUCCGGUGUCAAUCGUCGUGGUGAUGUGGUGGGUGCUUCGGCCGAUGAUGGUGAAUCGGGUACCGAGACGGUUCCGAAGACGGCUCGGAUGCAUAGAAGAGAAGUGGACAUUUGCGCCGGAGAAAAUCUUGUUGGCAAAAGCUCAGAAGCCUCUGGUCAGAAUUUUCUUGAAGACGAGGUUCAUUCCAUUGCUCAGCCAAUCAAAUCUUGCAAGAGAAGGAGGACUGCCCCUUCCACCGCUGCAGAUUCUUUCAUGUCGAUGCUUGAAUGCGGCGACGAGCGGUGA
rnacentral:rRNA from 1 species